GACGAACGCUGGCGGCGUGCCUAAUACAUGCAAGUCGAGCGAUGAAGCAUGGUGCUUGCACCAAUUUGAAGAGCAGCGAACGGGUGAGUAACGCGUGGGUAAUCUGCCUUUGAUCGGGGGACAACAUUGGGAAACGAAUGCUAAUACCGCAUAACAACUUUAAACAUAAGUUUUAAGUUUGAAAGAUGCAAUUGCAUCACUCAAAGAUGAUCCCGCGUUGUAUUAGCUAGUUGGUGAGGUAAAGGCUCACCAAGGCGAUGAUACAUAGCCGGCCUGAGAGGGUGGUUCGGCCAAAUGGGAAUGGGAAAACGGCCAAGAUUCUUAGGGGAGGCGGCGGAGGGAAUCUUUGGACAUGGGCGAAAGGCCGGACGCAGCAAGACGGGGGGGGGAAGGAGGGUUUCGGGUCGGAAAACUCCGUUUGUAGAGAAGAAAGAUGGUGAGAGUGGAAAGCUCAUGAAGUGACGGUAACUAAACAGAAAGGGACGGCUAACUACGUG
rnacentral:rRNA from 1 species